UACGGGGGGGGCAAGCGUUGUUCGGAAUUACUGGGCGUAAAGGGCUCGUAGGUGGCCAACUAAGUCAGACGUGAAAUCCCUCGGCUUAACCGGGGAACUGCAUCUGAUACUGGAUGGCUUGAGUUUGGGAGAGGGAUGCGGAAUUCCAGGUGUAGCGGUGGAAUGCGUAGAGAUCGGGAAGAACAUCAGUGGCGAAGGCGGCCUGCUGGGCUGUUGCUGACGCUGAGGCGCGACAGCGUGGGGAGCAAACAGG
rnacentral:rRNA from 1 species